UCAUUACAUGACAUGUUCUGAAAACCAACACAGAUGCUUUUAUCGGGUUGUAUCGCAACAUGUCCGAGUCGUUUCAGUUUGUUGGCUCAUUACAGGCACCGUUGUAUUUUGGGUGGAAUUCUACAAGAACCGGCUCCAACGAAACGGUUGCCAUGACAACAGUCGGAUGGACAACACACCAUGCUCAAGCCAAGAUGAGAUUUAUUUGUCAGAAAAGUUUUGACAGCAAACAAACACACUUUCACGCUUCAUUGAUAUAUCUGAUUGUAAUCACCAUUAGUGUAUGUGGCGCACUAAUCCUUAUCUUUCUGAUCG